AGCGCAGGCGGUGCGGCAAGUCUGAUGUGAAAGCCCGGGGCUCAACCCCGGUACUGCAUUGGAAACUGUCGUACUAGAGUGUCGGAGGGGUAAGCGGAAUUCCUAGUGUAGCGGUGAAAUGCGUAGAUAUUAGGAGGAACACCAGUGGCGAAGGCGGCUUACUGGACGAUAACUGACGCUGAGGCUCGAAAGCGUGGGGAGCAAAC
rnacentral:rRNA from 1 species